UCGCCCAUGUAAGACCUACUAUGUCUUAGAUGAGUAACACGGGGGGUAGAUGAAUUCUCUCAAAAACCUGAAGUACAGGCAUACUAUUCCUUGCUUCGGAUCCUGUCGGGAGACACAUAU